rnacentral:rRNA from 1 species
GACGAACGCUGGCGGCGUGCUUAACACAUGCAAGUCGAACGGAAAGGCCCUGCUUUUGUGGGGUGCUCGAGUGGCGAACGGGGGAGUAACACGUGUGUAACGUGCCCUUGACUUUGGGAUAACUUCAGGAAACUGGGGUUACUACCGGAUAGGAGCCCCUGCUGCGUGGUGGGGGGUGGAUAGUUUCGGCGGUUGGGGAUGGACUCGCGGCUUAUCAGUUUGUUGGUGGGGUAGGGGCUUACCCAGGAUUUGGAGGGUAGCCGGCCCGGGAGGGGGAACGGCCUCAUUGGGCCUAAGGUAGGGACCAGACUGCUAUGGGGGGCAAUGGGGGGGAAUAUGGCACAGUGGUACGGCGCCGGAGACGAAAACCCCGGGGGUGGGAAGACGGCCUUCGGGGUGUAAACCGCUUUCGCCUGUGACGAAGCGUGAGUGACGGUAAUGGGUAAAGAAGCACCGGCUAACUACGUG